GUGCUCACUUAAGCAGCACAUAUAUUAAAAUUGGAAUUAUACAGAGAAGACUAGUAUGGCCAAUUGCAAGAAUGGCAUGCAAAUUCACAAAGUGAUAUAUGUGUGU